GGGGAUCUAGCUCAGUCAGUAGAGCAUGGGACUCCUAAUCCCAGGGUCGUGGGCUUGAGCCCCA
rnacentral:tRNA from 1 species